CGCGGGGUGGAGCAGCCCGGUAGCUCGUCAGGCUCAUAACCUGAAGGUCGUAAGUUCAAAUCUUACCCCCGCAACCA
rnacentral:tRNA from 6 species